rnacentral:rRNA from 1 species
UACGUAGGGUGCAAGCGUUGCCCGGAUUUAUUGGGCGUAAAGGGCGCGUAGGCGGCUCUGCACGUCCGUUGUGAAAUCGCCCGGCUCAACUGGGCGGGGUCAGCGGAUACGGCAGAGCUUGAGCAAGCUAGGGGGCAAUGGAAUUCCCGGUGUAGUGGUGGAAUGCGUAGAUAUCGGGAGGAACACCGGUGGCGAAGGCGGUUCUCUGGGCCUUACCUGACGCUGAGGAGCGAAAGCGUGGGGAGCGAACAGG